CCAGUUUUACUAAAUUUAAGCAGCAAAAUCUCAGCAUGCUUAGAGGAUACAAAUGGAAUGCUGGAAGUCUAUACAUGAGUGCAAAUUUGGGUUUCUUACUUUUGUCCUGUUUAUUAAAACUGAAGCAUGUUUCAUGUAAUAUUAUCUAUUAAAUGGAGAUGUAUUACUAAUAUUAAUUUAUUUUUAUACUCUGAUAGGUUUGUAGUUGAUGGUCAUCUGUAUUGUUGUUAUUAUUUAUGUAUUAUCAAUUCAGAACCACAAUAUUAUGCAACAGCUGGAGAAGAGAAUCUCCUUAAACUGUGAAUGAUGCUUCUUCACAGGUCAUGUGAGGAAGACGAUGCAACAGCUUUAUGUCACCUUAUGCUGAGAGGAGAUGUAGGGCACACAAUAUGACCAGCGUGACAGGGGCCUUAAUGCAGCACCUACUCCAUCUUGUAGCAAUGUUGGCAAUUUGAAAGGUACUCCGGUAGCCACCCCAUGUACUCCUCGGCGUCUGAGUUUGGUAGAAUCCUUCACUAAUGUUCGGGAAUCCACAACUACAAUGAGUACAUCCUUAGGACUUGUAUGGCUACUCAAGGAACGUGGGAUAUCAGCAGCAGUGUAUAACCCACAAGGUUGGGACAGAGUGGGCAGGAGCACUCUUCUGAGCACAUAUUCUCCAAGAAUGGCUGCCAUUCCUUCCACUCCUCCAAACUCACCUAUGCAGACACCUCCUUCUUCCCCACCAUCUUUUGAGUUCAAAUGUUCCAGUCCUCCUUAUGACAAUUUCCUGGCUUCCAAACCAGCUAGUUCAAUUCUGAAGGAAGUAAGGGACAAAAAAAAUAUCAGAAACAGUGAGAGUCAAACUGAUGUGUCUGUCUCCAACCUUAACCUAGUGGACAAAGUAAAAAGGUUUGGAAUUGCCAAGGUAAUAAAUUCAGGGGAAACACAAGCUCUUAAAUUAACUGAUAAACACGGACUAUUUUUCUCUGGAUCACAAAAGUCUGGAGGCCUGCUGCCUGAGAAUUUGCCUUUGGAUUGCCCUGCUGUGACAACUGCUAUUGGAGGCAUUCAGUUGAACACUGGCAUUAGAAGGAAUCAAAGUUUCCCAACUAUGGUUGGUUCGAGCAUGCAGAUAAAAGGUCCAUCAACUCUAACCCCUGGAAUCCUAAUGGGAGGAAAACUUUCCAAGCAAACUAGCUUACGAUAAACGGCUUAAUAUAUUUCAAGCUCCUCCUUCAAACACUUUUUUCUUCCAGUUGUUAAGUUUGACAAAUCAACUUUGUGCCUAAUUGGAUAAAGUGUAAAUUUUAAAUAGAAUGUAAAUAUGUAUUAGAUGUAUUAUAGAUGAAUCAGGUCACUGUUUUGAACAUGUAACAUGCUAAAAUUUUGAAAAGCUGUUUUUUUUCCUUUGCACUGAAAAAAGUGAUCCUUGCACAGGGAAAAAGAAUGAUCAAUUCUCUAGUUAGCCUACCUUGACAGGGUGACAGGAUCAUUUGGCAAGGAUUACUGAUCAUGCUAUCAGAAUUGCAAGAUUUCAGGAUGGGUGGUGAAUUCUAUGAGGAGUCUUUGUUUUUCAUGACGUGUUCAUCAUAGCAGUAGCUUAGCAUUUUGACCAUUUUGUUUGGCCUUUGAAGUGAGGAGGGAACAUUGUACUUCAGGGGUCAUAAUUCUAACUGAUUGGAUUUUUCCCUUAUGAAAUAAACUUGAAAUGAUAUAUAUUGAGAAGCAUUGCUAAGUGUGCUCCAUGCCUCAAUUGUUGUUUUGUAGCAUGACCAUAUUCUAUAUUUUUUUUUCAAAGCUGCACUGAUGAUAAAGUGAAAAGUAUUUAAAUAAACUUUUACUGCAGACACGGAAAAAUCAUUAUGACAUAUCCAAAAUGAAAAUAAUACCCUUAGAAUUAUUCUAUGCUUCAAUGUUAAAAAUACUAAAAUAAAUAUCUCUUUCCUUGGGAGCCAAAAUUAUUGAAUGAGUUGAUAGUAGGCCUCUUUAAAAACCAAAUUUAAAUCUGUAAUACAAAAAAAAACCAAAAUAGCAAGUGUUAAAGUAAAAGGAAUGACAUUUGCAGCCACUUCAAAUGUCUCUAGUUUUUAAGUUUUAUUGUUAAUUUGUUGCAUGGUUUAUGAUUCCAAGUCUCAUUCAAAUAAUGCUUAAAGCAGUCCAGCAUAUAGAAAUGAGAGGGGAAGAAGAGGACUUAAAACACAAUGGAGUACAAAAGGAACUCCACAAUCUAGGAGACAGUGUCAUGGGAUGCCUCUUCAUUUUUGAGGAGGUAAUAUAGGAAGUUCACAGAAAUGAUUAUAUAAAUCACAGAUAUUUUAUAAUUAUUUGGAAGCAAUUGGUAUAUGUAACUUUUUGUCUUUUUAAAAAUCAGUUUCUGUUUGUUUCUAUUUGCAUUAGUUUCCACAUAAUUUGUGUGUGUGUGUGUGUGUGUGUAAGUUCUGUAAGACUUUUAAUUAAAAAACCACUGUAUUAGAUGAACUAUGUGAACUAUGGUGUUUGUGUGUACAUGCAUACACACACACACACACACACACACACACACACACCGUGGAUCAUUCAGUUCAGUACCGUAACAAGCAGUGAGCAUGUAUAUGUAGAAGAAUGAAAGAGGAUAGUACAUGCUAUUAAUUUUUGCUUGUGUUUUCAGACUUCUAUUUAUUUCACAUAUUGUUAUUUGCUCUACUUUCCCUUUGAAUGUGUGCAUUUAAUCGCAAAAAUGUGACAUCUUUUUAUCUGGAUGUAACUUAAAGAGGACUAAUAAAUUGGUAAUUUUAAAUAAAUGAAAAAAAUCAUUAA